GCAGUCAACUCCAGGGAAGCAUCGGAGGACUUGAAGCUUCCCUUUCCAAGAGCUUUAUUGUUUGUUCGGGAGCCAAGGGCGACAUCAUUAUUCAUAUUCAUGGGAUAUUAAUUGCUACUGAGAAAGAAGAAGGAGCCAGAAAGCAGCAAGGCAAGCGGGGCGGGGCGAGAAAGACAGAGAGAAAGAGAGAGAACGAAGCGAAGCGAAGCCGAUAUCUCUUCUGUCUCCCGGCGCAAAGGGCACGCUAAUGCUUUGCUAGGGCAUCCCUUUUUCCACGCCCCGUGGUUCACGGCGAGGAGACCACCGUGAACGCGGGCGGCUGUGCAAGCCUGCGAAAGAGCGGAAGGGAGUCCCCUGGUGGCAGGGCACUGCACUGCAGAGCGCCUCGGGAGGACUCUGAUUCGCCGCCAGUUUCAGGCUAUAGAGGCUGGGAUGCAGCUUAAAGUCUCAUAGCUUUCUUUCCCACUUCCUUUUUCCAGCUGAAAUGAUUCGGACAGCGCUCUGGGGCUCUGCCACACAGCCGCUUGUAUUGCAUUGCUUAGCUUUCCCUCCCCUUCUCCCUUCCACUUCUCCUCCCCCUUUCUUCUUUUUCUCUCCCUUUCCCCCUAAAGAGAUGAUCAGCCAAGGUCUUUGCAGAUAGAUUUUAUCGAAACUUAAAGGGAAGCCAUCGCUGGGCACUUGCUGGCCAAUAAGUCAUUUUUAAUAGAGACAAAUCACUCGGAACGCCCAGGAGGCAAUAGCGGUGGCUACUGCUGGUGCCGCUGGCUGCUGCAAAAAGACGCGGUCGGUCGGGACAGCCUCAGGUCUCUUUCCUCUUGCAAGUUUCCUGCCAUCGUGACGUCCCUGGGCGCUUCCCUUCCGAAACCGGCGGCACCUGUUUCCACGGGACCUCUGUUCAUAUCAUGGAGCAACGGCGCCGAGGGGACCCUGUCCGAGCACCCGAGCCCGCGUAGCUGGCUUUGAUUGCUGUGCUGGUUUCUUUUCCUAUGGACUAUUACCAGAGAUCGACACCUGCGUUCGGACCCCGCAUGCAGCUGAAGCGAGCUGUCCUGGCUCUUUAAAGUAGAUGCCGGGUGGAUCUAUGGUUCUGGCGAAACAGAGAGGGAGCCCGAGCAGCGCGAAGGAAGUUUGAGCCGCGAUGAUGCAGCCCACAUACUGGUACGCGGUGCUUCUGCUGCAACCUGUGCUGUACCUGGUCACCUGUGCAAAUUUAAGCAGUGGUGGCAAAUCAGAACUUCUAAAAGCAGGCAGUUCCAAAUCCAUACUAAAGCACAUAUGGACAGAAAGCAGCAAAGACUUAUCGAUCAGCCGGCUGCUGUCACAGACUUUUCGCAGAAAAGAAAAUGAAACAGAUUUGAGUAUGCGGUAUGAUGCUCCUGAAACUUAUUCGGAGCAAGAUUUAUGGGAGUGGCUGAGGAACUCCACGGAUCUUCAAGAGCCUCGAUCCAGAGCAAAGCGACGGCCCAUUGUCAAGACUGGGAAGUUUAAGAAAAUGUUUGGCUGGGGCGAUUUUCAUUCCAAUAUCAAGACAGUCAAGCUAAACCUAUUGAUAACUGGGAAAAUAGUUGAUCAUGGCAACGGGACAUUCAGUGUUUACUUUAGGCAUAAUUCAACUGGCCAAGGGAAUGUAUCAGUGAGCUUGGUGCCCCCAACCAAAAUAGUAGAAUUUGACUUGGCACAACAAACAGUGAUUGAUGCCAAAGAUUCCAAGUCCUUCAACUGCCGCAUUGAGUAUGAAAAGGUUGACAAAGCCACCAAGAACACGCUCUGCAACUAUGAUCCUUCUAAAACAUGUUACCAGGAGCAAACCCAAAGUCACGUCUCAUGGCUCUGCUCCAAGCCCUUUAAAGUAAUCUGUAUUUACAUUUCCUUUUAUAGUACAGAUUAUAAACUAGUACAGAAAGUAUGCCCAGAUUACAACUACCAUAGCGACACACCAUACUUCCCUUCAGGUUGAAGCAGACCAUACAUCUAAGACUGAGGAUCCCAAGGAAUAAAAUAAAUCAAAUCAAAUAAAAGAGGUCAUAUGACAGGGCUAUUACCUCAAAGAAGAAGGCCACAACUUUUGCCCAGAAUGUGUCUACAUUUUGCUGCUGAUAUCAACUGGCUGCAAAUAUGUUAACGGAAGCCAAUCUAAUCAUUUCUGCCCAGUCAGCUCCAUUACAUAUCAGUCCAGUUGUAAAUCACUAUUUAAAUGAUGCCACAUAUGGUUUCUCUUUCUCUUUCCUUCUUCCUCUUUGCAUCUACAGAGGUACCUCUUAAGAUGACUUUCAUCGUCUGCUAUGUUCAGGAUCAUCUGUCAUCAAGCAAAACAGAUUAAUUAGCUAAAGAAUGGUUAUGGAAAUAGCCAAUGUUAUGGAAAUCUAAGUCUUGAAUACAUGAUAAUCAGUAAUCCCCAUUCAUGCAUUCCUUCACUUGAAGUAGCUGUACUGGUUAAAAACAAAACAAGGAAAUGAGGAAUCCAUUUUAUCAAUGUAGCUGUAAACUCCAUUUAAGAAGACAGCAUUCUGUACAAAGCAUAUAUUCAGCUAAAUUAUUGUUGAGAGCUAUACACUUACAACAUUUACAGUCUGUCUGUAUUUAGACUUUUUCUUUCCAGGUGAAAAAUAUUGAAAUGUACAUAAAAAUAAAAUACUGAAAUUCAGUUUCAAUAUGCAUUCUGUAGCUGGUGGUUUAAAUAGUACGGGAACACUGAUUAUUCAUUGAGAAUAUAUUCUUUUUCAAGUUGGUAAAUAUGCUGGAGAUUUUGAUGUUUGUUGUCCCACACUGCUGACCCAUAAAAGUUGAGUCCUAUAGAUCAGGUUUCUUAUCUUUAUAUGCAACUUUUCAAUCAACAAAUAAGUUACUAAUUCUCAAUGAUUUUAAUAAGAACUCCAAGGAUUUGAAGUCAAAUUCAACAUAAUGUCAAGAGGUCACUGUGUCAGACUAAGGUUGUACCAAUUUCCUAAAAAUAGAAGUGAGAUGCAAUGCAUGUUGGAAAUUUUGACCCUUGUCCUCUAUUGCCCCUGCCCCUCAAUACUUUUGACCUGGUAGGAGAAAUUUGCUGGAUGGGGAAAAAAAGUUGCAAGCAGAAAAAUAGCAGGGAGGGAAGAGAUCAGCAUCAUUUAUAGAGAUGCUACUUAAAAAGGUUUCAAGCAUUAUCUGCCAUUAGGACAGUAGCUUCAUAUUUCUGAUUUGGUCAUGAACCACAAAUGAAAUCCAUAGCAUCACAUUAUACAGAUUGCUUCAUAGUGUAGUAAGUCAUUACCUCAACUUAGGCAUUUAAAUCAAGAACAGGUAUGAUUAAGAUAGCUUCUGUUAACAAUAAACCCAAUCAUGUCCACAUAUUUGAAUUUUUUUUCACGUUUUUUUUCUACUUUCAUGGAAUUCCUAUAAAAUGGGACAGGUUGCGACCCAAAGUCUAUGAGUCAACUUCCCAGGCCAAAGUGUUUAUUGUGUCCAUCACAAACACUCUUGGCAAAAUGUUGAUUGGAAUCUUUUGAUAUAUUUACAAGAGACCUACAGUACAUUAGCAAGCAUUCCAUCAUUCCUGUUGAUUUAACAAUAUUUUUCUGUAAAUAAAUUUGUCAAUAAAAGAAAACCUAAAGAAGAAAGGAGAAUCCAUGAAUAAAUAUGUGUAAAAGGGUUUCUAAAAUUGGUUCUGCAACUACUGACCAUUUUCUUAAUCAUUCAUAUAUGUCAGGAUUAUCUAUGGGAGGAUUGAAAAAAGUCAAGAUGAUGCUUUCAAUCACAUGCUCAUGAUUCCCAUUGUUUGUUUAAAUACCAAUGAUUAAAAAUACAUCAAAUAAAAACACACAUACAGAUAUAUACAUAUUGUACAGGACAUAGUCAAUUGAGUUGAUCAUUCCAUGAUUUAACAUUCUGUGGGCAAAUGUUCUAAACCUGUGACCUGCGGACUCCUGGAGGGCAGCUGCAAUGUCAUUAGAGGGGACCCCAAAGGAUUGAAGAAAUGUUAUGAUUUAAAUCUUGACUUAAGUCAUGGGGAUUCAUGGCCAUGGUCUGUGGCCACAAAAGAUAUUUAAAAGAGGUCCAUGGUGAAUAAAUGAUUGAGAACCACCGCCCAACUGAAUUGACUAUGACCUUAAAGUUUCUACAAAUUAAAAAAAUAUAUUAAUGCUGUAGAAACAAAGAAUAAUUAAAUACAUAGAUUUUGUUCUGACCUUAUCCAUCCCAUGUUCUCUUUUUGGGAAGUACAACCAGUAGCAUGCCAGUCAAAGACCAUUUUAGCUCUUGGCCCUAGAAAAGUUGUACUGUCUAUAGCUAUAAUUCAAGUUGGCUUUUCUUUGAUUUCAACAAGUACACGGAAAGGUUAUUUGGACAAUUAAUGAUGGCUUGUUCCUUGAAUCUUUAAAGUGUUAUGUUGAAUGCUUCUGCUUGAAGUGAUAUGCAGCAUAUGACCUCACUCCUCUACCAUAUGAUAUGACAUUUAAUGAUCUAUCCACUAAUGUGAAUUGAACAAGAAUUGGUGCCCUGGGUCCACAAAAAAAAGAAGGACGGCUAUUAAAUAUGGAAGGUCUGGCUUACUGCAUUUGAAACUAAUGAAGUUGUGUGGAUUAGCAUGUGAAAAAAUGGGUAUAUUAUCAAUAAGUAAAGUGAAAUUCAAGCACUAAUUUUCACCAGAAAAAAAUAUGUCAAGAAUCUUAUGGAAGGUUAGGAUUCAGUGUUACAAGAAAUCAAUGAUCAAAAUCAUUUGGAACUUUAAUAGAUACCUGUUUCCAACUUCUUUCGUUUAGAUUUCCUAAUGUCUUUCAAAUAUAUUGAAUUGCAGUCACACAGUUGUCACCCUCUUUAUCUAGACCAGGAGUGUCAAACUCACAUCAUCACAGUGGCAUCACAUGAUGUGUCAGGACUUUCCUCCCCUUCGCUAA